ensembl:lncRNA
AGCAACCUGAAACAACCACUGCGUUUCCAGAAGAGUGUCUUUCAAUAUAAAGCCUACUCCUGAGUAACUGGCACACGCUCAGCGAGCACAACACGAAGACAACUGGCAGCCAGCUGCCCUUAUGAAAUACUCCAUGACCAUAGGAGGGUACCUGAUCUGGCCAUGUGGAGCUGUUAGCACUUUUCUUCAUCUCAGUACCUCCAUGGUUCUGAUAUACGACGAAAUUCCUCCAACCCGGACACUUUCUGAGCUUCCUUUUAACCUCAUCUUCUUACUCUGUCUUCGGUGUUGCUUUGUCGUGAACGCAUUCACAAAUUUUACAAAAAUCUUUCUCUCUAGUGUGGCAUUGCCAGCCCUUUGGCAGUGUCCCUGCACAGACUCAAGCUGCUCUGAUGUGUUGAAGCAGGGAUGAGGAAUCCCUGGUGAAUGCCAUAAUUUUGCUGAGAUGCAGCCUGAGGUUGCCUGGUGCCAGGGCCUGCAGGUCCCCGUGACUCGCCAGGACCCGUGCUGCUCUUUCAAAUAAUGGACAGCAGGUGGUAGCACAUGUUCAUUCCAAUAUUUUUUAUUUUUUUUAAAGAAUUACUCCUUCCAAAGCUUCACCUUUUUUAUGAAAAGGGGUCUGGAGGAGAAAAUCAAGUGCCAGAGAGGAUGUGUAUUUAGCCUGCUUCCAGGCUUUUCUUUUUCCCAAGAAAGCUAAAGCCACUCCCUUCACCUCUGACAUUUCUAGAGUCAUUUUUCCUCAGUGAGCUUCUCUGUUGAGUUACAGAAAGAGCGAGUCUUGGCUUGAAUCUGUAACAUCAUGCAGGAUAAUUUUGCUGUGGAAGCAUGCAGGUAGUGCUGAGUAAGCAGAAGACAGAGGCUGGGAAAAGCAUUGCGCUCAAACAGACUGUGCCUUCCUGCAUGGGAAAGCUGAAUUAACUUGGUUGAAUCAGCUAACAGUUCUGCUGAAAUGAAAGAAGCUCUCCCAGCCCAAAUGGACCGCAAGCAGAAGGCUGCUGAGAGAUGGGACAAUAGCCAGGGUAGAGUUUCACACAGAAGGGCUCUGGUCACUUGGUUCACUCUACUCUCAUGCUGGCAUGUAAAACAUACAGGGCUCUCUUCCCUGCAAGCUGUAAAUCAACAGACACAAAGUAAACUAUUCUGAGCAAAUAUUGCUGUAAGUUUUAUUAUAAUAGGGUGCUUUGUAUGGGGCUGGUGAGAACAUCUGCAUGAACAUGGACUAAGACGCAUGAGAGGUUUGAAAGCAUUCAGCCCAGUGAAUUGAUAUGUCAAUAGCACAUUCAUCCCAUGAUUUAUUUAGUACAGACACUGUUUACUGCUCGCUUUGGAAAUAUUUCAGUUCCAAUAAAGGUGUAAACUUUAUUUUUUUUAAUAAUUAGACUUACAUAAUUAAAGUUAUAUGACAGUCUCCUAUGGCCUGAGAAAUACUGCUUCAAUGAGAUGUUCUUAAAUGAAAUUGAGGUGACUUAGCCUCAGAUUUCUCCUUUGACUGGGUUUAUAAUUGCUUUCAGACUGCCCUUAAAGUGCCCACAUCUGGGCAGCAGCAUCUGCAGUUUGAUUGCACAGAUAACAGCAAAGAUCUUCCCUGGUCAGACAUGGACCAGAGCACAGCUGAGCUGAGCCAAGAGGCUUAGCCCAUCUCUGUGGGAUGUAUUUUCAGAGGUAGCUGGUUGUGUCAUACAUACAAAAAUCUAUCAUACAUUUAUUUACUCCAGAAUGUUAUGCUAUAGAAAACAGACACUGUCACAAGAAUACAUGAUCCAGCUUGGCUCUGCAUAAUCUGAACUGUCUAGGUUUCUUCAGAAUUAAACCAUAAGCCUGCC